rnacentral:lncRNA from 1 species
CAUCCAUGUAAGAUGUGACUUGCUCCUCCUUGCCUUCCACCAUGAUUGUGAGGCCUCCCCAGCCACGUGGAACUGAAAUUAGGAUCAGCUCUUGUCCAGUUCAAGCUGACUCCACUGAGCCUCCAAUGGCCUGUAUGAAUGCCCAAUGAGUGCCCUUUUGACAUCAGAAGGCCAAAAACUCCACCCUCAGAUUGUGCCAACGACACCAUCUUGCGAACGUGGAUCCUAUGAAAAGCCAUGAAGCUUAACUGCACUCGCACAGAUCAGCAAUUACCUCACUUUUCCUUACCACCAAUUAACUUUUUCCAUGCAUUGGACUGCCUUGCUCCUUUAUCCCACAAAUAUCCCUAAUGCCCCAACUUCAAGGAGGAGAAUUUGAGGGGUGUUAUCCCACCUCCUCACUUGGCUGCCUCAUGAAUAAAAUCUUUUCUCCACUGC